GACGAACGCUGGCGGCGUGCUUAACACAUGCAAGUCGAACGAAGUGGCGAACGGGUGAGUAACGCGUAAUCAACCUGCCCUUCAGAGGGGGACAACAGUUGGAAACGACGGCUAAUACCGCAUACUGAAGGAGGGGAUUGCGUCUGUUUAGCUUGUUGGAGGGGUAACGGCCCCCCAAGGCGAUGAUCAGUAGCCGGCCUGGGGGGAUGAACGGCCAACAUGGGACUGAGACACGGCCCAGACUCCUACGGGAAGCAGCAGUGGGGAAUCUUCCGCAAUGGACGUAAGUCUGACGGAGCAAAGCCGCGUGAGUGAUGACGGCCUUCGGGUUGUAAAGCUCUGUUAAUCGGGACGCGGUACCGGAAUAGAAAGCCACGGCUAACUACGUGCCAGCAGCCGCGGUAAUUC
rnacentral:rRNA from 1 species